UACAGAGGUCUCAAGCGUUGUUCGGAUUCAUUGGGCGUAAAGGGUGUGUAGGUGGCGCCGUAAGUCGGGUGUGAAAUUUCGGAGCUUAACUCCGAAACUGCAUUCGAUACUGCGGUGCUUGAGGACUGGAGAGGAGACUGGAAUUUACGGUGUAGCGGUGAAAUGCGUAGAUAUCGUAAGGAAGACCAGUGGCGAAGGCGGGUCUCUGGACAGUUCCUGACGCUGAGGCACGAAGGUCAGGGGAGCAAACGGG
rnacentral:rRNA from 1 species